UGACCACUGAAGUGUUUCCUUUGCACAGUGU
rnacentral:piRNA from 1 species